ACUCAUAGAAACAGAAAAUAGAGUGGUGGUUGCCGGGGUCUGGAGGGAGGGGGGAAACUAAUUAGUGUGAGUUUCAGUUGGGGACGAUAAAGUUCUAAAGAUGAAUGGUGGCAACGGUUAUACAACAGUGUAAAUGUACUUAAUGCCACUGAACAAUAUAUUUUAAAAUGGUUAAAAUGGUAAAUUUUAUGUCAUACAUAUUUUACCACCAUUUUUUAAAAACUUUUUAAAGUAUUUUGAGUGAGUAUAGGUUGAGUGAGUAAAGGUGUGGUAACCAAUUAGUGAUCUUUGUCACGGCUGCAGGAGUUUCCGCACACACACCAGGUGCUGGUCUCAUAUCCCUGGGAACCUCUGAGAUCCUGAAACAAUAGUUCUAAACCAGAGAUGUGCAUCAGAAAUCACCUAAAACUAUGAAUCAGUAAAUCUGGACCGGGGCCUGUGGUUGGGUACUUAGAAAAUCUGCCCAGUUGAUUCUCCUACACCCUUGUUAGGAACCACUGUUUGAGGGAGGUGAAAAUGUGAGAUGGUUCAUGAACUCCCCCCCCCCUUCUUUGGUGAUGAUUGACUUUCAUGCCUCCUGCAGAAUCUGUUAGGAGAAGAACAUCGACUCACCUCUCAGUAUUGCAUGUGGUCUCAAGGAGAAGGGACUUAGUCUGUUCUGGCUGCUGUGACAGAAAUACCAGAGACCGAGUAGCUUAUAAAAAACAAACAGUUAUUUCUCCCUGUUCUGGAGUCUAGGAAGUGUUAGAUCAGGGCACUGGCACAUUUGGUGUCUGGGAAGGGGCUCUCUUUCCACUGUGUCCUCAUAUGGCAGGACAGGGGCCAGGGAAUCUCUGUGGGGCCUCUUUCAUGAGGGCACUAUCGCUAACCUUCCAAAGGCCCCACCUCCAAACACCAUCACACAGGGGACUAAGUUUCAAUAUAUGAAUUUGGGGGGAAGAGGUGGACACAAACAUUCAGCCGAUAGCAGGAUGCUUUGAAGAAGCAGCAAGAUGACACAAGUUUGAGUAGUGAUCUCAAUUGAUACCCUAUAUGGCUAUACAUUUCUUUACCCAAUCAUCCAAUAAAAUGCACUUGAGUUCUCUCGCUGGUUGAAGGCACAGUGUUCAUUAUCUAAAGAAUAGAGACAUAAUCCUUGUUUUCUGGAAUUUAGGGCAAUUUACUGGGAAGUAUUUUUCCAUUUAACUGAAUUGGAUAUAAAGUUCGGUGAUGAAGGCUAUCUUCUCCAGUCUCUCUUUAAAGCUCAGCUUUAAAGUAGUCAUUUUCAUCUUGGCUUUGUUUUGGUUUUCAUCCUUGAUGAUAAUUAUGAAUUUUGAAUUCAGCAACAAAAACCCAGGGAAGUAGCAGACACUAACUCAAAACUGAAAAUUCCGCCCCAUUUAUGUUUUCCAUCCAUGCAGAAGCAUAGUGACAGCCUGGAUUCUGACGUGGGUGAAGAGGUAUUGUGUGUGUGUGUGUGUGUGUGUGUGUGAGGGCUGAAGGGGGUGCAUUGAAAUAUUAAGCCAUUGAAGUACAUGUAAUUGACUAAAGAAGUAUUUUGUUUUGUAUCUGUGGAGUAUGAUUGUAACUCUGACCUAUAAAAUGUGAGACACUUUUUGUCUUCAUUGCUCUUACAUCAGGCGUCUUGCUGUCAACCAUGUCUCCAGCUUUGAUAUUCUCUUCACUUCGAUAUCUUAUGUACCAAGUUCCUCUGGGUGCCCUAAGGCUCUUCAUACUUCAUCCCAUUAUAACUUUACAAAGUUUGUACAAACUUUCACUGAAAAAGAAAUUGAAGAUAAGGUAGAUAACUAUCACGACUGAGCACUAAUUUGGCGAAAUUCUGUCCACAGAUCAUCCCAUCAAAGCCUCACAACAUCUUUCUGAGUGUGGGGGCCAGAGUGGAUCUCAAGAACCACAGCUGAAGGAGAGAUGAUGUAGCCUGUAUUCCUACCACCCAGCUCGGAGCUGACUCCAUGCUUCACAGCAGGGCCUUCAGACACGUGUGCAGAGCAGAUGACCUUGAAACCAAGAUUUGCUACAUCUUCCCAGAUUCCUGUAAUGAUUUAUCCUGACUGUUCUGAAACAGUAGUUUUCUAUAGUUUGCUCGAUACACAGAAUGGUAAUGGCUUGAGUGACCAUGUACUUGGAUGAUUUCUUAAAUGUCUAUCUUUUACAAAUGCUAAUUCGGUGGUUAGAAUCUAUGGUUCUGCGACAUCUGAGGACAGUGGUUUUUUGAAGUUUUGGACCUUGCAUCAGCAGCAUCAGCAUCACUAAGAAAUUGUUGGAAGCACACAUUCCCAGGCCCUGCCCCAGACUUACAGACUCAAGACGCUCGGAGAGUGGAACCCAGGAAUCUUAACAAGCCUUCCAGGUAUGAAAUUUUUUAAAAUGUGACUUAAAAAAAAAUCCUCCCAACAGCUCACAAGCAUCAGCAAACAAUAUGCAAUUUAGGAUAACACAUCUGGUGUAUUACACUUGAUCUGAUUUACUUUUAAAAGCUUACUCUGGCUACCUGUGGAGAAUGCACUGAUGGGUGAAGGAUCUGAAGCAGAGAGACUGUUAGGAGACCACUUGAAUAACCUGGGUGAGAGAUGACCAUCUGUGUUAGCAGAGUGGCAGUGGAGAGGGUGAGACAUGGAUAAUCAAGAUAUACUGUGGAGCUACCAAUGAACUUGCUGAUGGCUUGGAUGUGGGAGGUAAAAGGAAGGGAGGAAGAAGUCAAGGAGGGGUUUUGGGUUGGAAUAAUUGGUUGGAUGGUGGUGCCAUUCAUUGACUGGAGCUGGGAGUGGGAGGUAGGGACCUACCAUAGACUGAACAUUUAUGUCCCCUCCCCCAAAUUCAUAUGUUGAAACCUAAUCCCCAAUGUGAUGGUAUUUGGAGGUGGGUCUUUAAAAGGUGACUAGGUCAUGAAGGUGGGGAGAAUUCGCUUGCUCCUUCCACCAUGUGAGGACACAGCAAAAAGAUGUCCAUCUGUGAACCAGGAAGAAGGCUCUUGCCAGACUCCAAAUCUGCUGAUGCCUACAUCUUGGAUCCCAGACUCCAAAAUGAUGAGAAAUAGAUUUCUGUUGUUAAUAAGCCACCCAGUCUAUGGUGCUUUGUUGUAGCAGUCUAAACUAAGACAGGACCCCUAUCCUCAGGGAGCUCCAGGUUGCUGGAUACAUCCUUUCCUAGGCCUUGGUCUCUCCUCCAGUUGAGACACUGACUCCUUGUUUGCUGGUUAGUAUCUGCAGCUGCUUGAAAACAAAACUAGAUGCAACAUGAUCCACCAGCAGAAGAAAACUAAGCUGGAUUUUUCUCGUUGUGGUGAUAGAUUUAUGCUGUUAACUUUGUGCUUGGUUCACAAAGGUCAGGGGUAUGCUCUAUAGCCAGGAACAAAGCAAAGCAUGAAGAUCAAAUCUGUGACUUUGACCACAAAGGGCAUCGAGCUGCUGCCUCACUGGUUUACCCGUUGUGAGCGGAGUGACUGCAGUUUUCUCACUGACCCACAUGAAUCGACCAGCAAAAGAGGAUUCACAUGCAAAGUCUUCCACAGUGGACACCAUGUCUCCUGCAGUACCUACAACUAGAGAGAGAGGGGUUUCUCAUCACUUCUCAGGUAAAUCCACACCGCCCAGCUCAGGGCUGGGCCUCAGCCACUGCCAGCAGCUCAUGCCCAGGGUGUGUCACUGAAGCCCCCUCCCACCCACCACGGACACUGCCACUUAAGGCUUGCCACCACUUGGGCCCUUCCUCUCACUGCUGGACACACACCUCAUUUUUGCCCACCUACUUCUCUUGUGCCUUUCAAACCUUAGCUCAGAAAAUAAAGAGGAAAAGUUUUUUUUAAAAAAAGGUAGCAGUCUUUGAAGAAGUCAAAAGACGAAUGCCAGAACAGCCUUUCUGGUCCUAAGCGAUGCUAAAUACCGCAUAGUACAACUGUAGGCAUAUUCUUUUUGGUUGCCAAUUCUAAACAUACUUACUGAGCAUCAGUUAUGCAUGAAACAGGGUCUGGGGUUUAGAUGAGGAGUAUGAUCCAAUUCUUGCCCUAGAGGAACUUCCAGUCCAUGGAGGAGCUAGGAGACACCCAGGAAGUAAGCAUUUAGAACACAGUGUGAGGAAGUUUCCAGUGAAGGCUCCUUUAGGACAUGCUGAGUCCUGAAGAGUGAUGAGAAGCAAAGGGGUCAGGGAGUCUGGCUAGGUAGAGGGAACAGCUUGUACAAGGCUUGGAGGUGAUUCAGAAGUUCUGAGGUCAGGACAGCAGGGAUAAGUCUUGACUUUCUCUGCUCCAGGCUGACCAGUUCUUAGUCCUUCGUUUAUGACAUUCUGUCCCAGUGUCCUGGUGUCCAGGAGAGGCAGAGGAAGCAGACCCAUCUUGUGUCCAGGUUGGAAGAAAAAUAUUGGAGUGUUCAAACUGAGAUAUCUAUCCAAAUGACAGGACAGAAAAAUUACCACCUAGGACAGAUGGUGACCGAAGUUUUAAUAGCACUUUAAAGUCCCCGUGUGCUUCAGGAAGAAAGUCCUUAAUACCCUCUGAAAAAUUAAUGGAUGUGGAAACUUACAUGACUCCUAAUAAAACUUCAGAAUUAGGCAAUAGAAAGGAUAUUGGCAUGUUGAGUCCCCUCCAAAUCCUCCAAAUUUAUGACUCCCGAUCGUACUGAUGAACUAGUGAUGGGCUUUAAAUUCCAUUUAUGGAUUUAGUAAUGCAUUUUGUUCUCGCUAUUAGUAUUUGUCAGAUAGACUUUUUUAAUAUUUCCCCUCCAGGCAGGACUCCUGUGACUAGUGACUAGUCUUUAAUUCUGGAUCAGUGCCAGUUGUUUUUCCAGCCCUCUAGAACAUCAGUAACACUAGCAAAUCUCCAAGUAGGUGAUGUUAUAUCACACCUAACACUUACACUUGGCCAAAAUUUUAAGUCCACAAGAUGAAUUGCAGACUUUCAGACUUAAGUAAAAGCCGUUAUGUACUUAACGGUACCAAAUUUUUCCAUUACAAAUCCUGUUUUUACUCUUUCUUAAUUAAAAAAAAAAAGGUGCCUUGAGGGGACUUUGAAUUUCUAAGCCUUCCAGAUCAAAGAUUUCUUCAGCUGUCUGAAUUAUAGGAAUGUUGAAAAACAAAAACAAAUCUUUUUCCUGCUAUAAAAUCCUUUCCAUAUUUUUGUCUUUAUGUAACUCAAAACGGCUGACCUAAAAAAUGAAGUUCUAAAAAUUCACCAGAAAUGGAGUAGUUCGUAAUUUUGAAAGUGUCAUUCUAAUUAAUCUGAUCCAAGAAUAAGUUUUACUAAAUUCUUAUUUGAUCAUCUAGAAAAUUGCCAAAUAGCACUUUGAAUAAAAUAACAUAUGUCUAAGAAUACCAGAAUGUUUUAAAUUGUUUAUUAAAGUGAUUCAGGACUAAAUUGUAAUGAUUUGGGCACGGUGGUAGUGAGGGCUGGUAUAAUUUUCCUCUGACUCCACACACACCCUUGGCUACAUACGUGUCCUUUUAGCAGCACGAUUGGCAAAACAGGGAGCUGCUUAUUUCAAAAGCUUUUGCAAGAAGGUGUAGACUUUUUAUAAAGCAGUAGUUUAUAUGUAGUCAUCAUGUUGCUGAUAUUUUCAGUAUACAUCCUGACCCUCAGAAUAAACUGCU